ACCUGUGUUCCAUCUGGAAGGCAGAAGCGCCGCUGGAGCAUUUGGCCAGCGUGGUGGCCUUCUACAUCCAGGCGAGAAGGGUUGGGGUUGGAAGGGGUCUUAGGGCAAGGCUGAGGAGGCAAGGAGGGGAGAGGCAGUGUUUUCCUUUCUGGCUCCAGCCCUUCACGCUUCUCCUCUUCUCUUUCAGCUGCUGCACAUUGGCCAGCGCCCUCACUCCCUGGCGAAGACUUGGACACUGCUGAUGACCUGGCUCCAAUAUCACAGCCUGGCCAUCCAACAUCAGAGUAGGCAGGACCUUCUCCCCCUCUGCAAGACCUACAGGGAGAUGUCAGGCACAGCCCAGGGUCUACACACCACAGAGAAGCCCAGCUAGCUUUGCUCUUGUAGACAGAAUACCUGGGCCUCCAGGAGCUGUUGGACGGGGUCCUCAGGGGGCUGCAAUCCCCCCACAGCAACAUCACUCUGGAGUUCCUGGACCUGGCUGGCUGGCUGGGGCCCUGCUGCAGGAGGAAGACCAGGCCCCCGUGAAGGCUUACCUGGCUGCCGGUUGUUGCCUUAUCUUCCACCACAUGAGUUUUGGCCCCUGGGCCUCCUCCUUGGGGAGGGAGGGGGCUGGCUUCCCCCUCCACCCAAGGCCUGGCGUUGGAGCAGCGCAGUGAGAGUAUUCCACAUGCUCUGUUUUUUAUAGUUUACCUUAUAUAAUUGUAUAGUCUAAUAUUGUAAUAUUUAAUAGUUUUUCUGAUUAGAAUAAAUGUACCUCUUUCUUUUUAAUUUGGUGCUUUAUUGGAUUCCUUUGGGGAAGGAGAGGGAGAUUCAAACCACCCAGGACCUGCAACUCAGGCCCCAUCUACACUGCCCUAUAAUGCAGUUCAAACUGCAUUAUAUGGGGAGUGUAGGCUCAUAUAAUGCAAUUUAAUGCAGUUAAACUGCUUUAUAUGAAUUUACACUAACCAUAUAAUACAGUAUGAACUGCAUUAAAUUGACAGCAUAGGUGAGGCCUAAGAGGAGAUCGCCAUGCUGGUGUUUAGUUUAUGCAAAUAUUUGUGUAUGUUAAGAUCAUAUUGUGACCAUGAUGGCAUGGUUGUGUAAAUAAAAUAUGUAUAUUUUUAGAAGAA